rnacentral:rRNA from 1 species
AACGCGAAGAACCUUACCAGGUCUUGACAUCCCUCUGAACAUCUAAGAGAUUAGGUGGGCCUUCGGGACAGAGGAGACAGGUGGUGCAUGGUUGUCGUCAGCUCGUGUCGUGAGAUGUUGGGUUAAGUCCCGCAACGAGCGCAACCCUUGAUCUUAGUUGCCAGCACGCAAGGUGGGCACUCUAGGAUGACUGCCGGUGACAAACCGGAGGAAGGUGGGGAUGACGUCAAAUCAUCAUGCCCCUUAUGACCUGGGCUACACACGUACUACAAUGGCCGGUACAACGGGCAGCGAAAGAGCGAUCUGGAGCGAAUCUCAAAAAGCCGGUCUCAGUUCGGAUUGCAGGCUGCAACUCGCCUGCAUGAAGUCGGAAUUGCUAGUAAUCGCGGAUCAGCAUGCCGCGGUGAAUACGUUCCCGGGCCUUGUACACACCGCGCAUA